rnacentral:rRNA from 1 species
AGCUUGCUCCCGGAUGUUAGCGGCGGACGGGUGAGUAACACGUGGGUAACCUGCCUGUAAGACUGGGAUAACUCCGGGAAACCGGAGCUAAUACCGGAUAGUUCCUUGAACCGCAUGGUUCAAGGAUGAAAGACGGUUUCGGCUGUCACUUACAGAUGGACCCGCGGCGCAUUAGCUAGUUGGUGGGGUAAUGGCUCACCAAGGCGACGAUGCGUAGCCGACCUGAGAGGGUGAUCGGCCACACUGGGACUGAGACACGGCCCAGACUCCUACGGGAGGCAGCAGUAGGGAAUCUUCCGCAAUGGACGAAAGUCUGACGGAGCAACGCCGCGUGAGUGAUGAAGGUUUUCGGAUCGUAAAGCUCUGUUGUUAGGGAAGAACAAGUGCGAGAGUAACUGCUCGCACCUUGACGGUACCUAACCAGAAAGCCACGGCUAACUACGUGCCAGCAGCCGCGGUAAUACGUAGGUGGCAAGCGUUGUCCGGAAUUAUUGGGCGUAAAGGGCUCGCAGGCGGUUUCUUAAGUCUGAUGUGAAAGCCCCCGGCUCAACCGGGGAGGGUCAUUGGAAACUGGGAAACUUGAGUGCAGAAGAGGAGAGUGGAAUUCCACGUGUAGCGGUGAAAUGCGUAGAGAUGUGGAGGAACACCAGUGGCGAAGGCGACUCUCUCGUCUGUAACUGACGCUGAGGAGCGAAAGCGUGGGGAGCGAACACGAUUAGAUACCCU